rnacentral:rRNA from 1 species
AUUGAACGCUGGCGGCAGGCCUAACACAUGCAAGUCGAGCGGAUGAAGGGUGCUUGCUACUGGAUUCAGCGGCGGACGGGUGAGUCAUGCCUAAGAAUCUGCCUGCUAUUGGGGGAUAACGUCCGGCAACGGGUGCUAAUACCUCCUACGUCCUGAGGCAUGAAGUGGGGGUUCUUCGGACCUCACGCUAUCAGAUGAGCCUAGGUCGGAUUCGCUAGUUGGUGGGGUUAAGGCCUACCAAGGCGACCAUCCGUAACUGGUCUGAGAGGAUGAUCAGUCACACUGGAGCGGGAACACGGACCAGACUACUGCGGGAGGGAGCAGUGGGGAAUAGUAGACAGUAGUCGAGAAUCUUAUCCAGCCAUGCCGCGUGUGUGACAGAGGUCUUGCGAGUGUGAAGCACGUCAUGUUGGGGUGAAGGGCAGUAAGUUAAUACCUUGCUGUUGUGACGUUACCAGCAGAAUAAGCACCGGCUAACUUCGUG